UUUAAAGAGAGUUUGAUCCUGGCUCAGGACGAACGCUGGCGGCGUGCCUAAUACAUGCAAGUCGAACGAACGGAGGAAGAGCUUGCUCUUCCAAAGUUAGUGGCGGACGGGUGAGUAACACGUGGGCAACCUGCCUGUAAGUUGGGGACAACUCCGGGAAACCGGGGCUAAUACCGAAUGAUAAAGUGUGGCGCAUGCCACGCUUUUGAAAGAUGGUUUCGGCUAUCGCUUACAGAUGGGCCCGCGGUGCAUUAGCUAGUUGGUAGGGUAAUGGCCUACCAAGGCAACGAUGCAUAGCCGACCUGAGAGGGUGAUCGGCCACACUGGGACUGAGA
rnacentral:rRNA from 1 species